rnacentral:rRNA from 2 species
UACGAAGGGGGCUAGCGUUGCUCGGAAUUACUGGGCGUAAAGCGCACGUAGGCGGCUUUCUAAGUCGGGGGUGAAAUCCUGGAGCUCAACUCCAGAACUGCCUUCGAUACUGGAAAGCUCGAGUCCGGGAGAGGUGAGUGGAACUGCGAGUGUAGAGGUGAAAUUCGUAGAUAUUCGGAAGAACACCAGUGGCGAAGGCGACUUACUGGACAACUGUUGACGCUGAGGUGCGAAAGCGUGGGGAGCAAACAGG